UACGUAGGGUGCGAGCGUUAAUCGGAAUUACUGGGCGUAAAGGGCUCGUAGGCGGCCAACUAAGUCGGAUGUGAAAUCCCCAGGCUUAACCUGGGAACUGCAUCCGAUACUGGAUGGCUUGAAUUCGGGAGAGGGAUGCAGAAUUCCGAGGUGUAGCGGUGAAAUGCGCAGAUAUCGGGAGGAACACCAAUGGCGAAGGCAGCUCGCUGGGACGUUACUGACGCUGAGACGCGAAAGCGUGGGGAGCAAACAGGG
rnacentral:rRNA from 1 species